rnacentral:lncRNA from 1 species
GUAUGAUGAGUUAUACUUUGACUUAUUCCUUAAGACCCUUAGGGUAUAUCAAAGGGUAUGCCUGGGUAUAAUAAGUUGUACAUGGAGAUAAUGUAUGAUAAAUAAAGAAUCUACCACUUCUAGUAAAAGAAGAGAAAUGUCUUAUGUGAUUUGAUAAAUGACAACCCAGUAGUCCUUGGCCAAGGAAGAAUGAAAUUAGAAAUGAGUUUCUAAUUUGCAUUAUUU